rnacentral:tRNA from 1 species
GUUCCUGUAGUUAAAUUUUUAUAACGACGGCUUUUCGAGCCGUGGAUCUUGGAGAAAGGCCGAGCAGGAAUU